rnacentral:rRNA from 1 species
GCAACCCGACUUCGUGAAGCUGGAUUCGCUAGUAAUCGCGCAUCAGCCAUGGCGCGGUGAAUACGUUCCCGGGCCUUGUACACACCGCCCGUCAAGCCAUGAAAGCCGGGGGUACCUGAAGUACGUGACCGCGAGGGUCGGCCUAGGGUGAAACCGGUGAUUGGGGCUAAGUCGUAACAAGGUAGC